GAUGAACGCUGGCUACAGGCUUAACACAUGCAAGUCGAGGGGCAGCAUGGGGUUUGCUUGCAAACCCCGAUGGCGACCGGCGCACGGGUGAGUAACGCGUAUCCAACCUUCCCGCGACUCGGGUAUAACCUGCCGAAAGGCAGACUAAUCCCCGAUGUCCUCCACUUUGGACAUCUUUUGUGGAGCAAAGGCUUCGGCCGGUUGCGGAUGGGGAUGCGUCCGAUUAGCUUGUUGGCGGGGCAAUGGCCCACCAAGGCUUCGAUCGGUAGGGGUUCUGAGAGGAAGGCCCCCCACAUUGGAACUGAGACACGGUCCAAACUCCUACGGGAGGCAGCAGUGAGGAAUAUUGGUCAAUGGGCGGAAGCCUGAACCAGCCAAGUAGCGUGCAGGACGACGGCCCUAUGGGUUGUAAACUGCUUUUAUGCGGGGAUAACCGGGGCCACGCGUGGCCCCCUGCAGGUACCGCAUGAAUAAGGACCGGCUAAUUCCGUGCCAGCAGCCGCGGUAAUACGGAAGGUCCGGGCGUUAUCCGGAUUCAUUGGGUUUAAAGGGAGCGUAGGCCGUGGAUUAAGCGUGUUGUGAAAUGUAGACGCUCAACGUCUGACUUGCAGCGCGAACUGGUCCACUUGAGUGUGCGCGACGCAGCGGAAUUCGUGGUGUAGCGGUGAAAUGCUUAGAUAUCACGAGGAACCCCGAUUGCGAAGGCAGCUUGCGGGAGCACCACUGACGCUGAGGCCCGAAGGUGCGGGUAUCGAACAGG
rnacentral:rRNA from 1 species